rnacentral:rRNA from 1 species
CAUAGCCUAAAGGUUUUUUUAGGUAAUUUYUGCUCAAUGAAUUAAAUGGCCGCAGUACUUUGACUGUGCUAAGGUAGCAUAAUCAAUUGUCUUUUAAUUGAGGACUAGAAUGAAUGAAUUAUGGUUAAAUUUUUUAUUAUAUAUUUUAUUAACUUGUUUAUUAGGUGAAAAUACCUAAAAAAAUUAUUAGACGAGAAGACCCCAGGAAUUUUAAAUUUUUUAUUGGGGCGAUAUCUAAACAUUAAACUUUAGAUUUUUUUAUAAAACGAUAAAAAAUAAAUUACCCUGGGGAUAACAGCAUAAUAUAAAGAUUGUGACCUCGAUGUUGGAUUAGAAAAUUUUACUUAAAGAGUAAAUUUGUUCUGUUCGAACUCUACGUGAUCU